rnacentral:tRNA from 1 species
GCUAGCGUAGCUUAAUAUAAAGCAUAGCACUGAAGAUGCUAAGAAGGGCCCUAAAAAGCCCCGCACGCA